UCUCCGUUGGUGAACCAGCGGAGGGAUCAUUACCGAGUUUACAACUCCCAAACCCAAUGUGAACGUUACCAAACUGUUGCCUCGGCGGGAUCUCUGCCCCGGGUGCGUCGCAGCCCCGGACCAAGGCGCCCGCCGGAGGACCAACCAAAACUCUUAUUGUAUACCCCCUCGCGGGUUUUUUUAUAAUCUGAGCCUUCUCGGCGCCUCUCGUAGGCGUUUCGAAAAUGAAUCAAAACUUUCAACAACGGAUCUCUUGGUUCUG
rnacentral:misc_RNA from 1 species